AUUGAACGCUGGCGGCAGGCCUAACACAUGCAAGUCGAGCGAGCGGCGGACGGGUGAGUAAUGUCUGGGAAACUGUCCGAUGGAGGGGGAUAACUACUGUAAACGGUAGCUAAUAUCGCAUACGAUAAGAUAUGCCCAGCUGGGAUUAGCUGGUGGGGGGGGUAAUGGCUCACCUAGGCGACGAUCCCUAGCUGGUCUGAGAGGGUGACCAGCCACACUGGAACUGAGACACGGUCCAGACUCCUACGGGAGGCAGCAGUGGGGAAUAUUGCACAAUGGGCGCAAGCCUGAUGCAGCCAGGCCGCGGGUGUGAAGAAGGCCUUCGGGUUGUAAAGCACUUUCAGCGGGGAGGCGUUACCCGCAGAAGAAGCACCGGCUAACUCCGUGCCAGCAGCCGCGGUAAUAC
rnacentral:rRNA from 1 species